UGGGGAAUAUUGCACAAUGGGCGCAAGCCUGAUGCAGCCAUGCCGCGUGUGUGAAGAAGGCCUUCGGGUUGUAAAGCACUUUCAGCGGGGAGGAAGGCGUUAAGGUUAAUAACCUUGGCGAUUGACGUUACCCGCAGAAGAAGCACCGGCUAACUCCGUGCCAGCAGCCGCGGUAAUACGGAGGGUGCAAGCGUUAAUCGGAAUUACUGGGCGUAAAGCGCACGCAGGCGGUCUGUCAAGUCGGAUGUGAAAUCCCCGGGCUCAACCUGGGAACUGCAUUCGAAACUGGCAGGCUAGAGUCUUGUAGAGGGGGGUAGAAUUCCGGGUGUAGCGGUGAAAUGCGUAGAGAUCUGGAGGAAUACCGGUGGCGAAGGCGGCCCCCUGGACAAAGACUGACGCUCAGGUGCGAAAGCGUGGGGAGCAAACAGG
rnacentral:rRNA from 1 species